rnacentral:lncRNA from 1 species
AUGUUGUCAGUUUGGACAAUUAGAAUAAUCAAUAGAUUCAGUAGAGAUCAAUUGAAAGAGAUUAACAUUUAUUAAUAAAUAUAAAAGGGGAUAUUUUGAUAACAUUAAUAAUUGAUCGAUUGGUCUAGUAGUAAGAAAUAUCAAAGAAUGAUAUUUUCUUUCUAAUUUUUCUAACCACAUAUUAUUAUAUUAUAUUAUAUAUGUAUAUGUUGUGGUGGAAGAGAAAAGAAAAGAAAAAGAUAGAAAACUAGCAGGAAGGAAACAAAGAAAAGAAAAAGGAAAGGAAUGGGAGGAAGAAGAAGAGGAAGAAGGACAGGAAAGCUCAUGGAAAU